rnacentral:tmRNA from 1 species
GGGGAUGAUCGGUUUCGACGGGGAAGGUUGGUCCUGGGCUGCAAGCCGGGCACGCUUCACAUCCCGUAAAACUGGAAGCAAACCAAUAAGUGCCAACACAAAUGCACGCACCUAUAGCGCCCUCCCCAUGGCUGCCUAACCGCAGCUGCGCGGGAAGCGCUUAGAUGGUUCCUUGACCGGAACCCCGUUUGCCCUGGAUGCUCGUUGGCCUGAAGGGUGCAGGCGACACACACGCCAACGUGCUUCUUCCAGAUGCCGCUAAGGAAGGAAAAGAGGCUCUUUCGGGAGCCAGCGGCCUGCUACUGGCUGACCCUGUUGGUCGGGGCGCCCGGUAGCCAAAGCGAAGUUGACCAACUAAGCUUGUAGACGUUCAGCGGCCGAAUUUUUCGGACGCGGGUUCGAUUCCCGCCAUCUCCAC